AUGACCUAGUAGGUGUGAUGAACGGGAGUGUGACAAUGAAUGAUGACAAUGACAUCACAGAUUAUGAUGCAUUUCUGAAUGAUACAAAGGCACAUCUACAAUUUCGGAAGUCUUCAUAGAAACCAUCUAUAGCACAAGAAAUUCAAGAUCCGUCAAGUUCAAAUCUCUCAUUAACUCUCAUCUAGAAUUUUACUUUUCUCUCAUACAGACAAUGGAUUUUGCCAAUAAUUGUCUAUUUCUAUGCCAAAUGUUUUUGUUUGUACAACUUUUUUUUGUUUUUUCUUUAACAAUAUAUAUUUUAUAUAUUAAGAAUACUUUUGUUCUCUUAAAGUAAAAAAAAAAUCUACUAGAUAAAAAAAAAUUAUAAGUUGCUUGUAUGAUAUUUCAGUAAUUCGAUAAUAAGUUGUCUGUCUAUUUCUUUUCUUUAGAAGUAGCUCUAAUUAUGUCUGACAAAGGGUAUCUCGUCAAGCUAUUGUAACAGUGAGUCUGAUGCUCAGAUUCCUUUAAGUCUUGGGUUCUCACCGAAUUCAGUCCUUGACUUAUGUCUUCCUUGUCUGGCGACUCAUGACUCGUUUCCAGUUUGCAUUCAAAUUUUCCUUGUUGUAUAAGGCGAAGUUGUUGGCUUUGUUGUUUGUUUUUUUUUCGUAUAAUUUUUUAAAGUUUCGUGUAAAAUGUGUCGCUCAAUUUAGUUCUUGUUUGGUGUUUUUUUUUUCACUUUACUAAGUUCUUGGAAAGCUAGGUUGUUUGACCUAGUUCUUGUAAAGUUAGGUUGUUUGACCUAGUUCUUGUAAAGUUAGGUUGUUUGACUUAGUUCUUGUAAGAUUUUGUUGUAUGACCUGGUUCUUGGUACGUUUUGAUGUUUGACCUAGUUCUUUGAAAAUUUUGAUGUUUAACCUAGUUCUUGUAAAGUGUUGUUGCUUAACCUAGUUCUUGUAAAUUUUUUAUGUUUGACCUAGUUUUUUUUAAAGUUUUGUUGUUCGACCUAGUUCUUGUAAAGUUUUUUGUUUGACCUAGUUCUUGUAAAGUUUGCUUUUUAUCUAGCGCUUUAUGCGAACUAUUACUUUUGUUCAACAUAUUUUAUUGACAUAUAUUUUCUGUUAAGUGUGUGUUUUAAUUUUUCGUUAAGACAAGAUUAUUUCGUGCAAUAAUUUCUUUCGAAAAUGUUUAGCUCUAGUUAUGUGAGGGUGAUAUGUCUGUUAGUUUACAUGUCAUUGCGAAAUACAAAAUAUUUUAAUAAACAAUUAUAUACAACA
rnacentral:sRNA from 1 species